rnacentral:rRNA from 1 species
AGCAGUCGCCGCGGUAAUACAGAGGGUGCAAGCGUUAAUCGGAUUUACUGGGCGUAAAGGGCGCGUAGGUGGUUAUUUAAGUGAGAUGUGAAAGCCCCGGGCUUAACCUGGGAACUGCAUCUUAUACUGGGUAACUGGAGUGCAGUAGAGGGUAGUGGAAUUUCCGGUGUAGCGGUGAAAUGCGUAGAUAUCGGAAGGAACACCAGUGGCGAAGGCGGCUACCUAGACUGAGACUGACACUGAGGCGCGAGAGCGUGGGGAGCAAACAGGAUUAGAUACCCCAGUAGUCCCUGUCUCUUAUAC